CGGGUGAGUAAUACAUCGGAACGUGUCUUCUAGUGGGGGAUAACUGCCCGAAAGGGCAGCUAAUACCGCAUGAGACCUGAGGGUGAAAGCGGGGGAUCGCAAGACCUCGCGCUGGAAGAGCGGCCGAUGUCCGAUUAGCUAGUUGGUGAGGUAAAGGCUCACCAAGGCGACGAUCGGUAGCUGGUUUGAGAGGACGACCAGCCACACUGGGACUGAGACACGGCCCAG
rnacentral:rRNA from 1 species